rnacentral:rRNA from 1 species
GGACGAACGCUGGCGGCGUGCUUAACACAUGCAAGUCGAACGGUGAAGGGACCAGCUUGCUGGUUCUGGAUGAGUGGCGAACGGGUGAGUAACACGUGAGUAACCUGCCCCCUUCUUCUGGAUAACCGCAUGAAAGUGUGGCUAAUACGGGAUAUUCUGGGUCUGUCGCAUGGCGGGCCCGGGAAAGAUAUUGCUUCGGUGGGGGAUGGGCUCGCGGCCUAUCAGCUUGUUGGUGGGGUGAUGGCCUACCAAGGCGGUGACGGGUAGCCGGCCUGAGAGGGUGGACGGUCACACUGGGACUGAGACACGGCCCAGACUCCUACGGGAGGCAGCAGUGGGGAAUAUUGCACAAUGGGCGCAAGCCUGAUGCAGCGACGCCGCGUGAGGGAUGGAGGCCUUCGGGUUGUAAACCUCUUUCGCCAGUGAAGCAGGCCUGCUCCUUGUGGGUGGGUUGACGGUAGCUGGAUAAGAAGCGCCGGCUAACUACGUG